rnacentral:rRNA from 1 species
CUCAGGACGAACGCUGGCGGCGUGCCUAAUACAUGCAAGUCGAGCGGACAGAAGGGAGCUUGCUCCCCGGAUGUUAGCGGCGGACGGGUGAGUAACACGUGGGUAACCUGCCUGUAAGACUGGGAUAACUCCGGGAAACCGGAGCUAAUACCGGAUAGUUCCUUGAACCGCAUGGUUCAAGGAUGAAAGACGGUUUCGGCUGUCACUUACAGAUGGACCCGCGGCGCAUUAGCUAGUUGGUGAGGUAACGGCUCACCAAGGCGACGAUGCGUAGCCGACCUGAGAGGGUGAUCGGCCACACUGGGACUGAGACACGGCCCAGACUCCUACGGGAGGCAGCAGUAGGGAAUCUUCCGCAAUGGACGAAAGUCUGACGGAGCAACGCCGCGUGAGUGAUGAAGGUUUUCGGAUCGUAAAGCUCUGUUGUUAGGGAAGAACAAGUGCAAGAGUAACUGCUUGCACCUUGACGGUACCUAACCAGAAAGCCACGGCUAACUACGUGCCAGCAGCCGCGGUAAUACGUAGGUGGCAAGCGUUGUCCGGAAUUAUUGGGCGUAAAGGGCUCGCAGGCGGUUUCUUAAGUCUGAUGUGAAAGCCCCCGGCUCAACCGGGGAGGGUCAUUGGAAACUGGGAAACUUGAGUGCAGAAGAGGAGAGUGGAAUUCCACGUGUAGCGGUGAAAUGCGUAGAGAUGUGGAGGAACACCAGUGGCGAAGGCGACUCUCUGGUCUGUAACUGACGCUGAGGAGCGAAAGCGUGGGGAGCGAACAGGAUUAGAUACCCUGGUAGUCCACGCCGUAAACGAUGAGUGCUAAGUGUUAGGGGGUUUCCGCCCCUUAGUGCUGCAGCUAACGCAUUAAGCACUCCGCCUGGGGAGUACGGUCGCAAGACUGAAACUCAAAGGAAUUGACGGGGGCCCGCACAAGCGGUGGAGCAUGUGGUUUAAUUCGAAGCAACGCGAAGAACCUUACCAGGUCUUGACAUCCUCUGACAACCCUAGAGAUAGGGCUUUCCCUUCGGGGACAGAGUGACAGGUGGUGCAUGGUUGUCGUCAGCUCGUGUCGUGAGAUGUUGGGUUAAGUCCCGCAACGAGCGCAACCCUUGAUCUUAGUUGCCAGCAUUCAGUUGGGCACUCUAAGGUGACUGCCGGUGACAAACCGGACGAAGGUGGGGAUGACGUCAAAUCA